rnacentral:rRNA from 1 species
CCUACGGGAGGCAGCAGUGAGGAAUAUUGGUCAAUGGACGAGAGUCUGAACCAGCCAAGUAGCGUGAAGGAUGACUGCCCUAUGGGUUGUAAACUUCUUUUAUCUGGGAAUAAAAUGUUCCACGUGUGGGAUUUUGUAUGUACCAUAUGAAUAAGGAUCGGCUAACUCCGUGCCAGCAGCCGCGGUAAUACGGAGGAUCCGAGCGUUAUCCGGAUUUAUUGGGUUUAAAGGGAGCGUAGGUGGAUUGUUAAGUCAGUUGUGAAAGUUGUCGGCUCAACCGUAGAAUUGCAGUUGAAACUGGCAGUCGUGAGUACAGUAGAGGUGGGCGGAAUUCGUGGUGUAGCGGUGAAAUGCUUAGAUAUCACGAAGAACUCCGAUUGCGAAGGCAGCUCACUGGACUGCAACUGACACUGAGGCUCGAAAGUGUGGGUAUCAAACAGGAUUAGAUACCCUUGUAGUC